rnacentral:rRNA from 1 species
CGGCAACAGCUCAAAUUUGAAAUCUGGCGCAAGCCCGAGUUGUAAUUUGUAGAGGAUGCUUUUGAUGCGGUGCCUUCCGAGUUCCCUGGAACGGGACGCCAUAGAGGGUGAGAGCCCCGUACGGUUGGAUGCCUAGCCUCUGUGAAACUCCUUCGGCGAGU